GUGCCUGCUUUGGCAGCACAUAUACUAAAACUGGAAUGAUACAAAGAGAUUAGCAUGGCCACUGUGAGAGGAUGACAUGCAGAGUCAUGAAGCAAUCCUUAUUUUU
rnacentral:snRNA from 1 species